GAUGAACGCUGGCGGCGUGCCUAAUACAUGCAAGUCGAGCGAACAGACGAGGAGCUUGCUCCUCUGACGUUAGCGGCGGACGGGUGAGUAACACGUGGCUAACCUACCUAUAAGACUGGGAUAACUUCGGGAAACCGGAGCUAAUACCGGAUAAUAUAUUGAACCGCAUGGUUCAAUAGUGAACGACGGUUUUGCUGUCACUUAUAGAUGGAUCCGCGCCGCAUUAGCUAGUUGGUAAGGUAACGGCUUACCAAGGCGACGAUGCGUAGCCGACCUGAGAGGGUGAUCGGCCACACUGGAACUGAGACACGGUCCAGACUCCUACGGGAGGCAGCAGUAGGGAAUCUUCCGCAAUGGGCGAAAGCCUGACGGAGCAACGCCGCGUGAGUGAUGAAGGUCUUCGGAUCGUAAAACUCUGUUAGUAGGGAAGAACAAAUGUGUAAGUAACUAUGCACGUCUUGACGGUACCUAAUCAGAAAGCCACGGCUAACUACGUG
rnacentral:rRNA from 1 species